ensembl:lncRNA
GUGCACCACAGUUUCUAGCAUUAAUGUGCACCACAGUUUCUAGCAUUAAUGUGCACCAUGAUUUCUAGCAUUAAUGUGCACCACAGUUUCUAUCAUGCAUGUGCACCACAGUUUCUAGCAUUAAUGUGCACCACAGUUUCUAGUAUUAAUGUGCACCACUUUUUCUAGUAUCAAUGUGCACCACAGUUUCUAGCAUUAAUGUGCACCACAGUUUCUAGCAUUAAUGUGCACCACAGUUUCUAACAUGAAUGUGCACCACAGUUUCUAACAUGAAUGUGCACCACAGUUUCUAGCAUUAAUGUGCACCACAGUUUCUAGCAUUAAUGUGCACCACAGUUUCUAGCAUUAAUGUGCACCACAGUUUCUAGCAUUAAUGUGCACCACAGUUUCUAUCAUGCA